UAUAUAUAUAUAUAUAUAUAUAUAUAUAUAUAUAUAUAUACAUACAUAUAUUGAAUCUGGCCUUCAUUUAUUCCCUGUUAUUGAUCAAUAUACCUUCAUAUUAUUAACUAAUUUAUUUUUAUUUAUUUCAUAUAUGUGUAGAAUAAAAUGUGUAAUAUAAACAAAUGACAUAUAUUCAACAUUUGUUAUGUAUUGUUUGCUGCUGCUCUUGUGUUUCCUUGGAAGAUGGUUGGCUGUGAAGCUAUUUCAAAAUGUCUAUCAGGUUUUAGAGAAAUAUUACUCUUCAUUACUAGUCUAAGUACCUUAGUGUCUAUUAGUAACUUUUUCUUUUUUUACAGUAACUCCUUCCUUCUAGUAAGUUAUGUACAGGAAUACUUCAAGCAACUGCCCUCCAAAAAAACUGGUUGAUUAGUUAUCAACCUGUAGCAAUGCAGUUUUAGUACUGUUCAUAUCUGCAGUGUCUCUGCUUUCUGCUCCUUCCUCAGAAUCAUAUUUUACCACACUUCAUGUCAUACCCUUAAAGAUUUCUUAACAUACUUACUCCCAGCUUUAUUGCCUUUCCAUUUCCUUCAUCGGCUGCAGAAUAUUGAACAGAAUAGCUUACUUGUUAUUUUCUCAUUAUUCACAACUACUGACUUCACUACUUCAAUUUCUGCUUUGUACCUCUUCUUCUGCUGGUUCUUUUUCCUACAUUUUUUUAAUAGCAUGAAAUUACUUGCAUAUGUCCUUGUGCAUAUGCGCAAAUACAAUGGCACAUUUGCAUGUGCUCAUAUGUGACUGGCACCCCUGUCAUUUCAAAGGCUGGGUUCUGUUUUUCACCUCCUCUCAUUCUCUUAUUUCCACAGCCACUUGUGACAUUUGGUUCUUGAUCAUUGCAAAUGACUCUAUGUGGCUGGUGCAAAGUUAAUAAGUUGACAAGUUGAUAUCUAGAUAAAUAAAUAAAAAAACUUCUAAUUUACUCCACUCUUGCUUAACCAGUCUGCCUUGAAUUUUUAUUUCAUAUGGCCCUUUGCCAACUUUUGGCUUUUGACAGUUAGCCAAAGGAGGUGAAAAGAACUGAGGUUUCCUCAUAAAAAUGGUUAAGUCUAAGAAUAUUAUGAAUAUGUUUUUGUUUCUUGAAAUGCUGGAAAAACCAGCAUAUUCCUAAGACCUCUCCUUUCUUUCUCUUCUUUCAUUUCCUCUUUAUCCUCUCUCACUUUCCUCUCUCUCUCUCUCAGUAUGUUGGAGAAGUGGGAUGCCAAGACUUCACAUUAGUCCUUCUCUUUCAUUCAGUCAUCUAUUUAUAUAAGUCUUUUUUUUUUUCAAUAAUGAAAAUAAAAUAAAAUAACUUUGAAAUAAAAUCACUAUAUACCAAA